AUGCGCGCUAGCGCUCCUGCAAGAGGAAGUAGCCGAUGGUGCGGCGUACACCACGCGCCGUUCGCACGAGCUGCCUGCACGUGCGGGAGUGGCUCUUCCACUGCGCCUCCACCAACGCGGACGAACGUGGCAUCCCCUGCUUUGACAGCAACCGAUCGCCGCGGUACGGAUGCCGCGCGUGGCGACAACAGCAAAGUCAAGGCGUUGCGUGACUACAGGCGCGCCCGUGGACUGUGCUUCAAGUGCGGGGAGCGUUGGGGCCACGACCAUGUUUGCCCAACGUCGGUCCAGUUACACGUCGUCGAGGAGAUGCUCGAACUCUUCGGCGUCGAUUCUUCGCCACCACCAAGCGAGGGCGCAGGGCCGAGCAACACCGUGAUGGCCAUAUCACGGUCAGCUCUCGAUGGCACAGUCUCGUCUAAGGCCUUCCAGCUACUGGCAACCAUUCAAGGCCGCGAGGUUCUGUUGUUGGUGGACAGCGGCAGUUCUACCUCCUUCAUCAACCAAGCUUUGGCGCAACAGCUGUCGGGGGUCGUGCCCCUGCAACAACACUGCCGUGUCCGCGUAGCGGACGGCAGCGAGCUCACAUGUUCUGCAGUUCUGCCAGCUUGCAAAUGGGCAUCUCAAGGGCAAGAAUUCAUCACCGACAUGAAGAUACUUCCUCUGGGCACUUAUGAUGCCAUCCUGGGCAUGGAUUGGUUAGAGAUGCAUAGCCCGAUGACCGUGGAUUGGAAGAACAAGGUCAUCCAAAUUCCAACUCCCCUGGGUUCGGCUCGUCUGUUCGGCCACGAGGCAAAUACUACAGACUGUCAUCUGAUCAGCAGCCUUCAGCUAUAG
rnacentral:rRNA from 1 species